GUGGGAGCGGGCUUGCUCGCGAAUACGGUGUGUCAGUCGCUGAAGAUAUUGACUGAACUACCGCAUUCGCGAGCAAGCCCGCUCCCAC
rnacentral:antisense_RNA from 1 species